rnacentral:rRNA from 1 species
UACGGGGGGAGCAAGCGUUGUUCGGAUUUACUGGGCGUAAAGGGCGCGUAGGCGGUCAGCACAAGUCAGUUGUGAAAUCUCCGGGCUUAACCCGGAAAGGUCAACUGAUACUGUGCGACUAGAGUGCGGAAGGGGCAACUGGAAUUCUCGGUGUAGCGGUGAAAUGCGUAGAUAUCGAGAGGAACACCUGCGGCGAAGGCGGGUUGCUGGGCCGACACUGACGCUGAUGCGCGAAAGCCAGGGGGAGCGAACGGG